rnacentral:rRNA from 1 species
AGCGAACGCUGGCGGCAGGCCUAACACGUGCAAGUCGAACGAAGUCUUCGGACUUAGUGGCGGACGGGUGAGUAACACGUGGGAACGUGCCUUUAGGUUCGGAAUAACUCAGGGAAACUUGUGCUAAUACCGAAUGUGCCCUUCGGGGGCAAGUUUUAUCGCCUUUAGAGCGGCCCGCGUCUGAUUAGCUAGUUGGUGGGGUAAUGGCCCACCAAGGCUACGAUCAGUAGCUGGUCUGAGAGGAUGACCAGCCACAUUGGGACUGAGACACGGCCGAAACUCCUACGGGAGGCAGCAGUGGGGAAUCUUGCGCAAUGGGCGGAAGCCUGACGCAGCCAUGCCGCGUGGAUGAUGAAGGUCUUAGGAUUGUAAAAUCCUUCCACCGGUGAAGAUAAUGACUGUAGCCGGAGAAGAAGCCCCGGCUAACUUCGUGCCAGCCGCCGCGGUAAGAC